GUUAUCCCUGACUGCCGCUACAGCAGUCCCAACCUGUGUUGUUUUCACUUGAUGGGCUCCUGGAAUUAUUGACAGCACACUCUCUAGUCGUACGGGCUGCCCUGCCACCUACACUGACAUCCUGGCCAGGUUCCUGGAGAUGGCCUGGCAUCUUGGACCUGUUCCCCACGGGGUGCCUGGAGCCUCUGAUGGUCUACCCAGGGUGGCAAUGAG
rnacentral:lncRNA from 1 species